rnacentral:rRNA from 1 species
GACGAACCGUCCUAACGUUGUUCGGAAUCACUGGGCUUAAAGGGCGCGUAGGCGGGCGAGCAAGUCCGGGGUGAAAUCUUUCGGCUUAACCGGAAAAGUGCCUUGGAUACUGCUCGUCUCGAGGGAGGUAGGGGCAUGUGGAACUUCCGGUGGAGCGGUGAAAUGCGUAGAGAUCCGGAGGAACACCGAAGGCGAAGGCAGUCUCCUGGCAAGUUACUGACGCUCAGGUGCGAAAGCUAGGGGAGCGAACAGG